CCUACGGGCGGCUGCAGUGGGGAAUAUUGCACAAUGGGCGCAAGCCUGAUGCAGCCAUGCCGCGUGUGUGAAGAAGGCCUUCGGGUUGUAAAGCACUUUCAGCGGGGAGGAAGGCGUUAAGGUUAAUAACCUUGUCGAUUGACGUUACCCGCAGAAGAAGCACCGGCUAACUCCGUGCCAGCAGCCGCGGUAAUACGGAGGGUGCAAGCGUUAAUCGGAAUUACUGGGCGUAAAGCGCACGCAGGCGGUCUGUCAAGUCGGAUGUGAAAUCCCCGGGCUCAACCUGGGAACUGCAUUCGAAACUGGCAGGCUAGAGUCUUGUAGAGGGGGGUAGAAUUCCGGGUGUAGCGGUGAAAUGCGUAGAGAUCUGGAGGAAUACCGGUGGCGAAGGCGGCCCCCUGGACAAAGACUGACGCUCAGGUGCGAAAGCGUGGGGAGCAAACAGGAUUAGAUACCCCGGUAGUC
rnacentral:rRNA from 1 species